AUUGAACGCUGGCGGCAGGCCUAACACAUGCAAGUCGAACGAGUGGCGGACGGGUGAGUAAUGUCUGGGAAACUGCCCGAUGGAGGGGGAUAACUACUGGAAACAGUGGCUAAUACCGCAUACCAUCGGAUGUGCCCAGAUGGGAUUAGCUAGUGGGUGGGGUAACGGCUCACCUAGGCGACGAUCCCUAGCUGGUCUGAGAGGAUGACCAGCCACACUGGAACUGAGACACGGCCCAGACUCCUACGGGAGGCAGCAGUGGGGAAUAUUGGACAAUGGGUGCAAGCCUGAUGCAGCCAUGCCGCGUGUAUGAAGAAGGCCUUCGGGUUGUAAAGUACUUUCAGCGGGGAGGCGGUAUCCGCAGAAGAAGCACCGGCUAACUCCGUGCCAGCAGCCGCGGUAAUUC
rnacentral:rRNA from 1 species